rnacentral:rRNA from 1 species
GUGAACCUCCUGAUCCCUUCCCGAACUCAGAAGUGAAACCUCUUAGCGCUGAUGGUAGUGUGGGAUUACCGAUGUGAGAGUAAGUCAUCGCCAGCU